rnacentral:rRNA from 1 species
AUUGAACGCUGGCGGCAGGCCUAACACAUGCAAGUCGAGCGGAUGACGGGAGCUUGCUCCUUGAUUCAGCGGCGGACGGGUGAGUAAUGCCUAGGAAUCUGCCUGGUAGUGGGGGACAACGUUUCGAAAGGAACGCUAAUACCGCAUACGUCCUACGGGAGAAAGCAGGGGACCUUCGGGCCUUGCGCUAUCAGAUGAGCCUAGGUCGGAUUAGCUAGUAGGUGAGGUAAUGGCUCACCUAGGCGACGAUCCGUAACUGGACUGAGAGGAUGAUCAGUCACACUGGAACUGAGACACGGUCCAGACUCCUACGGGAGGCAGCAGUGGGGAAUAUUGGACAAUGGGCGAAAGCCUGAUCCAGCCAUGCCGCGUGUGUGAAGAAGGUCUUCGGAUUGCAAAGCACUUUAAGUUGGGAGGAAGGGCAGUAAGCGAAUACCUUGCUGUUUUGACGUUACCGACAGAAUAAGCACCGGCUAACUUCGUGCCAGCAGCCGCAGUAAAAC